CUACAAGAAGAAAAAGAAAAUCUUCUGGGUACAAAUGAUAUCUAUAUAUUUUCAGUACAGACAUUUUUAAGUACAUGUGAAAAUCUCUGGUUUCCUGCCAGGUUCCAUGUAACUUAUCAAUUACUCCAAGGCUGUCAUGAGUACUGAUGAGGUAGAACAUUAUUGCCAUAACUGAAAACCAGAACACACUAAAUGUAAUAUUCUAGGAAAAUGAAAUUGAUAUUGUUUUAAUUUCUCUGAGCAAUUACGAAACACCAGCUCAUAAACGCAGUGUUUAUUUAAAGUGAUUGCUAACGGAGAAAGUUUCAAUUAGCUUACCUGUGCAAAAGGAUUUAGGUGAAGUAUUGAUAUGCAAUGACUAUAUACACACUUAUUUUUCUUUUUUAAUAUAAAUUAUCCUGGUACUUAUUUUAAAUUUGUAUGAAUUACAAAUAAUGUUCAUGGUAUAUGGAUUAGAUUAGUAGAAUAUUUACAGGGUUUUUCUAGAACUAUUGAUAAAAAUAAAUAAAACAUAUAUAUGUACUGCACAAGUAACGCCAAGCCUCCGUAGCAAGCCAGUAACCAACCGCAUGCUGAUGAGUUGCAUCAACAACGAAACGGAUGUCCAUGAGUGGUUCACUGGCUUUGCUCCUCUUCCUGAGUUGUGUUUCAAAGCUGUUGUAUACAGCAGUCACAUACUCCAAAUAAUCCAUAUAUAACGUGGAAUUAUGAGGCAAAAAUGUGGUUCUUUGUUGAGCUCAUUUGCAUACGGCUACCCAGAAUCCCUUGCAGUAGCGAGAGCACGGUUAGUGAAAUAAGCAGUCUUAUGGCUUGACUGGUGUGUGCAG